GGAUUAGAUACCCUGGUAGUCCACGCCGUAAACGAUGUCAACUAGCUGUUUGUGUUCUUGAAACGUGAGUAGCGUAGCUAACGCGCUAAGUUGACCGCCUGGGGAGUACGGCCGCAAGGUUAAAACUCAAAUGAAUUGACGGGGGCCCGCACAAGCGGUGGAGCAUGUGGUUUAAUUCGAUGCAACGCGAAGAACCUUACCAGCCCUUGACAUGGGCGUCGCGGUUUCUGGAGACAGGAACCUUCAGUUCGGCUGGACGCCACACAGGUGCUGCAUGGCUGUCGUCAGCUCGUGUCG
rnacentral:rRNA from 1 species